CAGUCAGCAGCCACAUCCUGGGCAUGCGUUAAUGCUCUUCUGACGUCUUGGGGAGUUUCCUUUGUGUGUGUCUUGCUGGUGCGGGCCGUGGCCGGGGGCGCGGGCAGGUCGCUGUCCGCGCGGGCCCAGCGCAGCCGCCGCCACCUGCCUUCCAUCGCCUUCACCCUCCGCGCCUUCCCCAGUGGGACGGUAAUCGCAGCGAGCCUUGCCGGGUGGCCCUGGGGCGAGACCACCUCUACCAAGUGUGACUUAUGGCCUCGGGACCGUUAGCCACGUGGCAACGGGUCGGGCAGCACCCGAAGGGGACUCCGGUGUGCACGCCCCAGUGAAACAACUUACUCUCACGUUCCCAUUUUUAUCAAGGUGAAAUGAAUCACUCUCCUCAUCAAAUGCAGCUGUGUCCUGGUUGGGUUUUUAACCCCCCUAAGACAUAGGACCAAGUUUCCUUUCCUCUAAAAGGCUCAUUUAACAAGUUUCCUCUGGUUCAAUAUCUGGUGAAUGGAGCCACAACCCAAAAGUUCAAGGACCUUGGAGGUGGUGGUUGGUGGCGAGAGAGACUGACUCUGAGCUCAAAUCAUCCUGUUGUGAGCAAGCACUGAAAGACCUUAGUAAACAUCCUUGCCCCUGCUUCAGCUACUCCCCAGAGGUGACAGCCGAGACCGUAGACAAUAAGGAUGUAACACAGUUCGGGUUGGAACAGGAUCUGAAAUAAACAGCUCGAGGUGAAAGCAGACGGUGUUAAGUCCUACUUAGGAAUCCAGUUCCUGCUGAAAGAACCCUCUUCCCUGCUGUAAUGGCCUCAGCCGGCGACAUGUCCUUGAAGACUUGGCUGGGAUACCACUUCACUGAGACAAGGGACUGUCAGUCCUUCCACUAUCGUACAAUCCUCAUUAGCACUCACCGUCUAGAAAUGUACUUAUUUGCUUUUACAAUCUCUCUGCUUCUACCGGCCUUUGAGCUCUGGAGAGGAGCAGCCUCUUUCCUUACCGCCAUGUCCUUAAAGCCUAACACAGUGGCUGGUACACAAGGUACUCCAAUAAAGCCACGUGCUUCUCUGACGAGCAGUUUUUUAAAGCUGUUCUGGGAAGAGACACACAAGGAACAAGGAGGAACCCCACAUCCUUGGGAAUCUUUGCGCAUCAUCUUUGGAGCCAAGAAGGCUAAUGCUUAGAAAGGAAGGAGCAUUUGGGGGCCCAACACACUUGUGACAAAAAUCCCAGGUCAAAUCAUACAUCCUGAUUUGGAGUUCAGAGAACGUGGCUGCCAGAACCCCCAAAUUUUAAAAGAGGUAUAAUUAGAGGAAUUUGUUAUUGCAAUCUGUUGUAAGAGAAUGGUCUGGCCUGUUGCAGAAUCUCCUACGCUCGUGAUGAAAUCUGGGCAUUUAUAAUUACUGACACCUAAUAUUUUCUUACGAAGACCAUUACUGAUAAUGACCACAUUCUUCCCCAGACAGAGAAUUUCCAAGGAAGUCUGGGAUCCUAUAUAAGACAUGACAUUUUAUGAUAAUAAUCAUCUCUGAGCCAUCCAUUCAUAAUUAGUCCAUUCACCACUACGAUGUUCACAUAAUUUGUUCCAGUAAUACACACUAUAUAUAUAUUACUAUUUCCAUUUUAGAGAUGGAAAAAGCGGAGGUUCUGAGAUGGUCAGUGGCUUGUCCCAGGCUGUCUGGUAUGGUUUGACAACUCCUUCACCAAUGCUCUGCCUCUCCCAUGUACGAAGGUAUAAGGUGGCACUGUAUUAUCACUUGCUAUGCAGCCUAUAAAAGGUUUGCCAGAUUAAUCUGCCUCAAGCGCUGCACAAGCCCUGAGUAAGCAUGGGUGUGUAUGCGUAAAUGAACAGUCACAUACCAAGUAGUUAUUAGACUAGAUAUGUUUGAAGAAGGGUGCUCUAGCAAGAAUUUGUAAAGCUAAGUUCCAGAAGUAAAGCCUUUUAUGCAACAAUCCUAUUAACAUUCUACAAAACUGUUUAAAAUCAAUGAGAUCACCAUAGCACAUCGCUACUAAGCAUACAGAGGAAACGAAUACUCUUGCAAUGGUGACGACUGCCCAAAUGAAGGGGCCAGAAAGUUUCUGAGCCAAAGUGAACAUUGCUUUAGGGUUUUCAUACGAUCAUGAAUCUAUCUCUACAAAGAACACAAAACAGCAGGUUUUGGAAAAUUUUUAAAAAGAUUUUAUGUAUUUAUUCAUGAGAGACGCACACAGAGAGAGAGGCAGAGACACAGGCAGAGGGACAAACAGACUCCAUCCGGGAGCCCGACAUGGGACUCGAUCCCACGUCUCCAGGAUCAUGCCCUGGGCCAAUGGCGGCGCUAAACCACUGAGCCACCCAGGCUGCCCAGGUUUGGGAAUUUUUGUUGUUUGAAUUAUCUGAAUGAUUACCUCUAAGUUAGUUUUUGUGUAUGUAUGUUAGAUGAAGAACUGAAAAUGAUUUCAGGAAUUUAUAUUUUGGGACCCCUGGGUGGUUCAGUGGUUGAGUAUCUGCCUCGGGCUUGGGUCAUGACCCUGGGGUCCAGGGACUGAGUCCCCCACUGGGCUCCCUGCAUGGAGCCUGCUUCUCCCUCUGCCUUGUGUCUCUGCCUCUCUCUGUGUGUCUCUCAUGAAUAAAUAAAUAAAACCUUUAUUUUCUGAAAAAAGG
rnacentral:lncRNA from 1 species